UCUCUGGAUUUUCUUCUU
rnacentral:miRNA from 1 species